UACAGAGGUGGCAAGCGUUGUUCGGAAUUACUGGGCGUAAAGGGCGCGUAGGCGGCCUUCUAAGUCAGACGUGAAAUCCUCCGGCUUAACCUGGGAACUGCGUCUGAUACUGGGAGGCUUGAGUAUGGGAGAGGGAUGUAGAAUUCCAGGUGUAGCGGUGAGAUGCGUAGAUAUCUGGAGGAAUACCGGUGGCGAAGGCGGCAUCCUGGACCAUAACUGACGCUGAGGCGCGAAAGCGUGGGGAGCAAACAGGG
rnacentral:rRNA from 1 species